GCUUGUCUCAAAGAUUAAGCCAUGCAUGUCUAAGUACAAGCCUCAGUAAGGUGAAACCGCGAAUGGCUCAUUAAAUCACACCUAAUCUACUGGAAAGUUACUAGUUACUUGGAUAACUGAGGUAAUUCUUGAGCUAAUACAUGCGAAAAAUCUCGACUCACGGAGAGAUGCUUUUAUUAGAUUCAAACCAUCAGUCCUUCACGGGACUUUUGAUGGCGAGUCAUAAUAACUGAGCGAAUCGAAUGACCUUGUGUCGUCGAUGCUUCAUUCAAAUUUCUGCCCUAUCAGCUUUCGAUGGUAGGAUCUUGGCCUACCAUGGCUAUAACGGGUAACGGGGAAUUAGGGUUCGGUUCCGGAGAGGGAGCUUGAGAAAUGGCUACCACAUCUAAGGAAGGCAGCAGG
rnacentral:rRNA from 1 species